UCAGUUUCGGGUCGUAUUACAAGUCCAAUUCAAUAAGUUUCAGGUCCAUACAAAGUUCAGUUUCGGGUCCGUUUUACAAGUCCAAUUCGUGAAGUUUCAGGUCCAUAUAAAGGUCAGUUUCGGGUCCGUUUUACAAGUCCAAUUCGUGAAGUUUCAGGUCCAUAUAAAGGUCAGUUUCGGGUCGUUUUACAAGUCCAAUUCAAGAAGUUUCAGGUCAAUACAAAGGUCAGUUUCGGGCCAUUUUACAAGUCCAGUUCAAGAAGUUUCAGGUCCAUACAAAGGUCAGUUUCGGGUCAUUUUACAAAUCCAAUUCAAGAAGUUUCAGGUCUCGAUCUAUAAAGGUCAGUUUUGGGUCCGUUUUACAAGUCCAGUGCAAGAAGUUUCAGGUCCAUACAAAGGUCAGUUUCAGGUCUGUUUUACAAGUCCAAUUCGAUAAGUUUCAGGUCCAUACAAAGGUCAGUUUCGGGUCCAUUUUACAAGUCCAAUUCGAUAAGUUUCAGGUCCAUACAAAGGUCAUUUUGGGGUCUGUUUUACAAGUCCAGUUCGUGAAGUUUCAGGUCCAUACAAAGGUCAGUUUCAGGUUGUUUUACAAGUCCAAUUCGUGAAGUUUCAGGUCCAUACAAAGGUCAGUUUGGGGGUCGUUUUAUGAGUCCAAUUCGUGAAGUUUCAGGUCCAUACAAAGGUCAGUUUCGGGUCUGUUUUACAAGUCCAAUUCGUGAAGUUUCAGGUCCAUACAAAGGUCAGUUUCGGGUCGUUUUACAAGUCCAAUUCGUGAAGUUUCAGGUCCAUUCAAAGGUCAGUUUUGGGUCGUUUUACAGGUCCAAUUCAAGAAGUUUCAGGUCCAUACAAAGGUCAGUUUUGGGUCAUUUUACAAGUCCAAUUCGUGAAGUUUUAGGUCAAUACAAAGGUCGGUUUCGGUCCAUUUCACAAGUCCAAUUCGUGAAGUUUCUGGUCCAUAUAAAGGUCAAUUUCGGGUCCGUUUUACA